UACGAAGGGUGCAAGCGUUACUCGGAAUUACUGGGCGUAAAGCGUGCGUAGGUGGUUGUUUAAGUCCGUUGUGAAAGCCCUGGGCUCAACCUGGGAACUGCAGUGGAAACUGGACAACUAGAGUGUGGUAGAGGGUAGCGGAAUUCCCGGUGUAGCAGUGAAAUGCGUAGAGAUCGGGAGGAACAUCCAUGGCGAAGGCAGCUACCUGGACCAACACUGACACUGAGGCACGAAAGCGUGGGGAGCAAACAGG
rnacentral:rRNA from 1 species